rnacentral:rRNA from 1 species
CGUGUAGGCGGCCAGGUAGGUGGGUUGUGAAAACUGGAGGCUCAACCUUCAGACGUCGACCCAAACCCCCUGGCUAGAGUCCGGAAGAGGAGAGUGGAAUUCCUGGUGUAGCGGUGAAAUGCGCAGAUAUCAGGAAGAACACCCGUGGCGAAGGCGGCUCUCUGGGACGGUACUGACGCUGAGACGCGAAAGCGUGGGGAGCGAACA